GUAACACGUAUGUAACCUACCUUGUUCAGGGGGAUAGCCUCUCGAAAGAGAGAUUAAGACCACAUAAAAUCACAAUGUGGCAUCACAAAAUGAUCAAAUAUUUAUAGGAACAAGAUGGGCAUGCGGAACAUUAGCUAGUUGGUGAGGUAACGGCUCACCAAGGCGACGAUGUUUAGGGGAUCUGAGAGGAUGGCCCCCCACACUGGUACUGAGACACGGGCCAGACUCCUACGGGAGGCAGCAGUAAGGAAUAUUGGUCAAUGGACGAAAGUCUGAACCAGCCAUGCCGCGUGCAGGAAGACGGCCCUAUGGGUUGUAAACUGCUUUUGCAGGGGAAUAAACCUCUCUACGUGUAGAGAGUUGAAUGUACUCUGAGAAUAAGGAUCGGCUAACUCCGUGCCAGCAGCCGCGGUAAUACGGAGGAUCCGAGCGUUAUCCGGAUUUAUUGGGUUUAAAGGGUGCGUAGGUGGCCUGUUAAGUCAGGGGUGAAAGACGGUAGCUCAACUAUCGCAGUGCCCUUGAUACUGAUGGGCUUGAAUAAACUAGAGGUAGGCGGAAUGUGACAAGUAGCGGUGAAAUGCAUAGAUAUGUCACAGAACACCAAUUGCGAAGGCAGCUUACUAUGGUUUUAU
rnacentral:rRNA from 1 species